GUGGGUAUAGCUCAAUGGUAGAGCACCUGUUUAGUAUGCAUGAGGUCCUAGGUUCAAUCUCCAGUACCUCCA
rnacentral:tRNA from 1 species